UACGUAGGUGACCAGCGUUGUCCGGAUUUACUGGGCGUAAAGAGCGCGCAGGCGGUCGUUCAAAUCGAGUGUGAAAGCCCCCGGCUCAACUGGGGAGGGUCACUCGAUACUGAUCGACUUGAAGGCAGGAGAGGGAAGCGGAAUUCCCGGUGUAGUGGUGAAAUGCGUAGAUAUCGGGAGGAACACCAGUGGCGAAGGCGGCUUCCUGGCCUGUUCUUGACGCUGAGGCGCGAAAGCUAGGGGAGCAAACGGG
rnacentral:rRNA from 1 species